rnacentral:snRNA from 1 species
GAAUGUGAGGGCGAUCUGGCUGUGACAUCUGUCACCCCAUUGAUCGUCAGGGUGGAUUCGACUGAUCUGGCUCGCUGGACAGGUGUCCCCCUCCUCCCUCACUGAUCCAUGUGAGUCCCUCCAGAAGCUGCAAGCUCAGUGGAAGAAGAUGACCUUUCCCCAGAGGAGAGGACUGGUCUUGGGUCAAGGGUAUACAAGUAGCUGAUCCUCCAAACAAGCUCUCAAAAAAUAUGGAAAUAAAAGUCCUUCUGCCACCAGUAUUUUCUCACGUGCUAUUUCCUGGU